rnacentral:rRNA from 1 species
GACGAACGCUGGCGGCGUGCCUAAUACAUGCAAGUCGAGCGCAGGAAGCCGUCUGAACCCUUCGGGGGGACGACGGUGGAAUGAGCGGCGGACGGGUGAGUAACACGUAAAGAACCUGCCCAUAGGUCUGGGAUAACCACGAGAAAUCGGGGCUAAUACCGGAUGUGUCAUCGGACCGCAUGGUCCGCUGAUGAAAGGCGCUCCGGCGUCGCCCAUGGAUGGCUUUGCGGUGCAUUAGCUAGUUGGUGGGGUAACGGCCCACCAAGGCGACGGUGCAUAGCCGGCCUGAGAGGGUGAUCGGCGACACUGGGACUGAGACACGGCCCAGACUCCUACGGGAGGCAGCAGUAGGGAAUCUUCCACAAUGGACGAAAGUCUGAUGGAGCAACGCCGCGUGAACGAUGAAGGCUUUCGGGUCGUAAAGUUCUGUUGUAAGGGAAGAACAAGUGCCGCAGGCAAUGGCGGCACCUUGACGGUACCUUGCGAGAAAGCCACGGCUAACUACGUGCCAGCAGCCGCCGUAACAC